CCUCUUUAAAGUUUCAAUCAUUGCCUUAGCUUUUCCUUCUCCAGUCCCCCUUUCUCUCAAAUGUAUAAGUGCUUCCCAGUGGAGAAUUUUGUGCAACACAAAGACAAAAAGUAAUCCCUUGCUUCCAAUCUCUUUUUUUCUAAGUUCGAUCUGGGUCUCUCACAAAAUUAAUUUAAAAGAUGAGUCUUUGAGGUAUUUGCACAGAAACCACAAAGCAAAAAGGAAAGUCUUUUGAGGAAAUUUUUUCAUGUGUGAGAUCUUCUUCACAGGAGGAAAGUUGGAAGAAGAAGAGUGGGAAAAAGAGAGUAACACAAAGAAGAAGAAGAAGAAGAAGAAGAAGAAAAAACCUAAUUUUUGCCAAAGCUGUGGAAAAAGGGGGAUUUUUAAGCAAAUAACAAGAACCCGAAGUUUUUGUUUCAUCUGCUUAUCUACUGGGGAAACUGGCAAUGUCUGCUACAAUAAUGACCGAGGCUGUAUCAGCCCCAACGCAAGAAACUCCAGCAACUCCGGUGAAGCACAAACCGAUGUCGAGUUUUGCGAAUUGCGAUUGCUGUGGACUUACCGAGGAGUGUACCCGGCCUAUAUCGAUACGGUCCGCCAACGGUACCAAGGGAAAUGGAUAUGUGGCCUCUGC